GAGUCAUGCUGUCUUGUGACCAGCCAGGCACUUUUCCAAUCAGAGAGACUGUUAAGAUCUCUGACAACAGAACCUGUCAUUGUUUGAAGAGCAGAUAUCAACAGUGACCUGUAUGCUUGGUGAUCUAGGCUCCGGCAUGUUUUGCUGGUGAUGCUGCAGUUGUUACCCUGGACAUCUGAGUGGGACAUCAGUGGCGGACAUCUGUGGGGGAGGGCUGAAUACCCCUCCGAAUCCGUGGACAGCCCGGUUCCACGGGGCUGUGGGAUUUCCAGCCAAGUCAGGGUGAAAUAAACUUGAAAGGAGCUGAACUCUCCACUCCGGGCCACACGAUUUAAUGUGAUGCAGAAUUUUCAAUUAAUGGCAGUAUCUUGGACUUGAUCAGAUAAUCAAGCCACAAGGACUGAAGCUACAAGGCUUAACACUUUCUAAUUGUUUUUUACAGAAAGGCUUUGUGUGUCAAAAAAUAAUC